UGUAAGAAUAGAUACAACCUUCAUUGGAAGAUUAAAAAAUUAAUCUAGCCUCAUCCUAACAUCUGGUCUUCAACUCUGAUACAAUUUAUUCAAAACGGUGUACCAGGUUAGCUGCUGGAAGACUUGGCUUCUCUAAAAUCUCAGGAGGACUUCUGCUUUGAGCGGUCUAACUUGUCUUCUCCACGGGCCAACACUUCGAGACAGUGACCCAGAGAGCGAGAGAAAGAGGAUCUCCUAAAAAGACCAGAGGAUGGAAGAAGAGCAGCAAUGGAAAAGUUCAAGGGUACCUCAGAAGAAAAAGGGAAAGAAGUUAGUGGAACGCCCCAGAUGGAGACAUGUCAAGUCCGUGGCACCUUAUCAGACUGACAGAAAAGCAAAAACCUCUUCUUCACGUGACCCAGAUCAGAACAGAUUCAAAUGUGAAUGCUACUACUGCCUGAGGUAUGUGGGCACCACCUCUGGAGUCUCCACUGGGAGCAAAGCAACAACCUCUCAUUCUUCCUGUUGUGAUAAGCUAAUACAGGAACUCAACAACUUAAAGCUCAACUCUGAGAACACGCAACCCCCCGCUCUCUGACAAAAACAGAGAGCAGGAAAGGGAUGAGAAGAGACAAAAACA